rnacentral:tRNA from 1 species
GGGUGUGUAGCUCAGCUCUGUAGCGCAUGCUUUGCAAGUAUGACGCGCGGGUUCGAUCCCUGGCAUCUCCA